CGAGAAAAAAAAAAAAAAAAAGGAUUUUUCUAACUUCUCCUUUUCCAUUGAUUUUCUCAAUAACCAAAGAGGUGGUUCACUUGAUACUUUUUCUGUUGUGCUGUUUUCUCAAUCCAGAAAACCAUCUACUGUGUAUGUUUUCUCAAAUUCUGCUUUCAGGAAACCAUUUUGCCUUUCCCAUCUUCUAGAAACUCUUGUUUUAAUCACAAAAUACCGUAAGUUCAUAUUGGAAGGAAAAAUACCAUCAAACUCAAUAAGCUUGAUACAUCACUAAGCUACUAUCAAGACCAAAACAAGAUUUUCGCUCUUUUCAUGCCAGAUCAGUAUACUCAAAUGUGACAGAUAUCAAGAAAAAAUUGCAAAGUUGAUUUUU
rnacentral:misc_RNA from 1 species